GAAGGUGCCUUUACACGUACAGCAGAAAUGAAUUAAAAGGGGAAAAAUGACAAAGUUUGUUACCGCAUAUUCUAUCAAAUGCACUGUCCUGUGGAACUGAGGAUUCUGUAACCGGCUCACAGCGCCCUGGGCAACCCUCGAGCAAUGCUGAGUACGGGACCCAAGGCCAGGCACCCGGACGAGUUCCGGCCCUGGCGUUGGAGACGCGGGCUUGACCUCCAAGAAACCACAGCUGGCUGGCUACAGAACACACCGACCAAAUGCUAGUUAGGACAGCCAACUGGAGUCUACUUAGGAGGUGGAUCUUCAUGAUGUAUCUUGGUGAAAACCCUUAGAAAACACCGUUAAAAAAUAGGAAGUGACCUAGGUACACAAAAUAAGAACUAAAGCUAUGUGUAUGUAACAAUGCUGACUGUGGUUAUCCUUCGGUA